rnacentral:rRNA from 1 species
UACGUAGGGUGCAAGCGUUAAUCGGAAUUACUGGGCGUAAAGCGUGCGCAGGCGGUUGUGCAAGACAGAUGUGAAAUCCCCGGGCUCAACCUGGGAACUGCAUUUGUGACUGCACGGCUGGAGUGCGGCAGAGGGGGAUGGAAUUCCAGGUGUAGCGGUGAAAUGCGUAGAUAUCUGGAGGAAUACCGGUGGCGAAGGCGGCAUCCUGGACCAUAACUGACGCUGAGGCGCGAAAGCUAGGGGAGCAAACGGG